CACACACACAUCAUCCAGCACUCACACACACACAUCAUCCUGCACUCACACACACAUCAUCCUGCACUCACACACACAUCAUCCUGCACUCACACACACAUCAUCCUGCACUCACACACACUGCAUUCAUUAUACACACUCUUCACUCACUACAAACACACUACAUUCACUAUACACUCACUACAAACACACUACAUUCACUAUACACCCUCUGCAUUCACUAUAC